rnacentral:rRNA from 1 species
UACGGAGGGGGCGAGCGUUGUCCGGAAUCACUGGGCGUAAAGGGCGCGUAGGUGGCGCGGGCAGGCAACGGUGAAAGUUCGGGGCUCAACCCUGAAUCGGCCGUCGAUACUCCCGGGCUUGAGCACUGUAGAGGCUGAUGGAAUUCCGGGUGUAGCGGUGGAAUGCGUAGAGAUCCGGAAGAACACCGGUGGCGAAGGCGGUCUGCUGGGCAGUAACUGACACUGAGGCGCGACAGCGUGGGGAGCAAACAGG